CCAGUCAAGCAUGAAGUUACCAAACCAGCUCUUCUUGGUGGAUCAAGUUUCCUUCACAGCUGUCAACACUGUAGUUCUCCACCCUCUGAAGUGCUUGAUUGAUGGCAAUGAUGGUCUUUUCUCUGGGUAGCUUGGGAACUUCCAAAUAUAUUAGGCUGGCUAG